UACGAAGGGGGCUAGCGUUGCUCGGAUUGACUGGGCGUAAAGGGCGCGUAGGCGGUUCGUACAGUCAGGCGUGAAAUUCCUGGGCUCAACCUGGGGGCUGCGUUUGAUACGUGCGGACUUGAGUGCGGAAGAGGGUCGUGGAAUUCCCAGUGUAGAGGUGAAAUUCGUAGAUAUUGGGAAGAACACCGGUGGCGAAGGCGGCGACCUGGUCCGAUACUGACGCUGAGGCGCGAAAGCGUGGGGAGCAAACAGG
rnacentral:rRNA from 1 species